rnacentral:rRNA from 1 species
UUUAAGACGAGGAUAACAACCGGAAACAGUUGCUAAGACUGGAUAGGAAAUAAAAAGGCAUCUUUUUAUUUUUAAAAGACCUUUUUCGGAAGGUAUGCUUAAAGAUGAGCUUGCGCCACAUUAGUUUGUUGGUGGGGUAAUGGCCUACCAAGACGAUGAUGUGUAGCUGGACUGAGAGGUCGAACAGCCACAUUGGGACUGAGACACGGCCCAAACUCCUACGGGAGGCAGCAGUAGGGAAUUUUCGGCAAUGGAGGAAACUCUGACCGAGCAACGCCGCGUGAACGAUGAAGUAUUUCGGUAUGUAAAGUUCUUUUAUUGAAGAAGAAAAAAUAGUGGAAAAACUAUCUUGACGUUAUUCAAUGAAUAAGCCCCGGCUAACUAUGUGCCAGCAGCCGCGGUAAGACAUAGGGGGCGAGCGUUAUCCGGAAUUAUUGGGCGUAAAGGGUGCGUAGGCGGUUAGGAAAGUCUAUAAUUUAAUUUCAGUGCUUAACGCUGUCUUGUUAUAGAAACUACCUUGACUAGAGUUAGAUAGAGGCAAGCGGAAUUCCAUGUGUAGCGGUAAAAUGUGUAAAUAUAUGGAGGAACACCAGAAGCGUAGGCGGCUUGCUGGGUCUUGACUGACGCUGAGGCACGAAAGCGUGGGUAGCAAACAGGAUUAGAUACCCUGGUAGUCCACGCCGUAAACGAUGAGUACUAAGUGUCGGGAUAAAACUCGGUACUGAAGUUAACACAUUAAGUACUCCGCCUGAGUAGUACGUACGCAAGUAUGAAACUUAAAGGAAUUGACGGGACUCCGCACAAGCGGUGGAUCAUGUUGUUUAAUUCGAAGAUACACGAAAAAUCUUACCAGGUCUUGACAUGCUCUGCAAAGCUAUAGAAAUAUAGUGGAGGUUAUCAGGGACACAGGUGGUGCAUGGUUGUCGUCAGUUCGUGUCGUGAGAUGUUAGGUUAAGUCCUAAAACGAGCGCAACCCUUGUCGUUAGUUACCAGCACGUAAUGGUGGGCACUUUAACGAGACUGCCAAUUAAACAUUGGAGGAAGGUGAGGAUUACGUCAAAUCAUCAUGCCCCUUAUGAUCUGGGCUACAAACGUGAUACAAUGGCUGUUACAAAGAGUAGCUGAAGCGCGAGUUUUUAGCCAAUCUCAAAAAAGCAGUCUCAGUUCGGAUUGAAGUCUGUAACUCGACUUCAUGAAGUUGGAAUCGCUAGUAAUCGCGAAUCAGCAUGUCGCGGUGAAUACGUUCUCGGGGUUUGUACACACCACCCGUCAAACCACGAAAGUUAGCAAUACCC